UUUGAGUAGUUUAUUUAGAAUUAUAAUUUGUGGUAUUAUAGGUGAAUGUUUUCCUCGAAUC
rnacentral:tRNA from 1 species